rnacentral:lncRNA from 1 species
AAUUAACUGUGUUCUUACAGUUUCUUGGUGUUUGAUACAGAUACCUAUUGCGAUUAAUGGUCCUUGAGAAGACAUCUUUGUGCCAGAAGAAAUACUGUCAAGGAUUGGAAUUCUAGAAUUAAAAGGCCUAUAGAUGCUGAACUAGAAAAAUACCCAGUAAUGGAUCAAAGGAAGAUUGACAAUAUUGUCCCCAAAUCACUCAAUUCCAGUGUUGUGUGGCUCAUUAUUGCUGACUUCAGCCACAGUUCUAGAAGAAGUCAUGAUGAUGACAAUAGAGUAACUAAUGCAGAGACAAACAGACUAACAAUGAGAACCACAAAAAGGAAUCUUCAAAUAAAUCAUCUAUAAGAAUAUCUGAAAGAAGAACUUCAACAGUGUUUAGGAAAAGUUCAGAAGAUAUGAUGGAUCACGACUUCAUAAGAAUGAUUCUGAUUCAAUUAUGGUGUCACAAGACAGUAAGCCUUCAGCUGAGUGCUGGCAGAAUAUGUAUAAA